AUUGAACGCUGGCGGCAGGCCUAACACAUGCAAGUCGAACGAGUGGCGAACGGGUGAGUAAUGUCUGGGAAACUGCCCGAGGGAGGGGGAUAACUACUGGAAACGGUAGCUAAUACCGCAUACCAUCGGAUGUGCCCAGAUGGGAUUAGAUAGUAGGUGGGGUAACGGCUGACCUAGGCGACGAUCCCUCGCUGGUCUGAGAGGAUGACCAGCCACACUGGAACUGAGACACGGUCCAGACUCCUACGGGAGGCAGCAGUGGGGAAUAUUGCACAAUGGGCGCAAGCCUGAUGCAGCCAUGCCGAGUGAAUGAAGAAGGCUUUCGGGUUGUAAAGUACUUUUAGCGAGGAGGCGUUACUCGCAGAAGAAGCAACGGCUAACUCCGUGCCAGCAGCCGCGGUAAUUC
rnacentral:rRNA from 1 species